rnacentral:snRNA from 1 species
CUAUCUCAAUGGUUGGAUAAC